rnacentral:rRNA from 1 species
GACGAACGCUGGCGGCGUGCUUAACACAUGCAAGUCGAACGGAAAGGCCCCGCUUUUGUGGGGUGCUCGAGUGGCGAACGGGUGAGUAACACGUGAGUAACCUGCCCUUGACUUUGGGAUAACUUCAGGAAACUGGGGCUAAUACCGGAUAGGAGCUCCUGCUGCAUGGUGGGGGUUGGAAAGUUUCGGCGGUUGGGGAUGGACUCGCGGCUUAUCAGCUUGUUGGUGGGGUAGUGGCUUACCAAGGCUUUGACGGGUAGCCGGCCUGAGAGGGUGACCGGCCACAUUGGGACUGAGAUACGGCCCAGACUCCUACGGGAGGCAGCAGCGGGGAAUAUUGCACAAUGGGCGGAAGCCUGAUGCAGCAACGCCGCGUGCGGGAUGACGGCCUUCGGGUUGUAAACCGCUUUCGCCUGUGACGAAGCGUGAGUGACGGUAAUGGGUAAAGAAGCACCGGCUAACUACGUG